rnacentral:rRNA from 1 species
UACGUAGGGAGCAAGCGUUGUCCGGAAUCAUUGGGCGUAAAGCGCGCGUAGGCGGCUCGAUCAGUCUGUUGUGAAAGUCAAAGGCUCACCUUUGAAUGCCGAUGGAUACUGUCGAGCUAGAGUCCGGAAGAGGCGAGUGGAAUUCCUGGUGUAGCGGUGGAAUGCGCAGAUAUCAGGAGGAACACCAACGGCGAAGGCAGCUCGCUGGGACGGUACUGACGCUAAGGCGCGAAAGCGUGGGAGCGAACGAGGA